rnacentral:rRNA from 1 species
CAGCCGCCGCGGGAAUACGAAGGGGGCUAGCGUUGCUCGGAAUUACUGGGCGUAAAGGGAGCGUAGGCGGAUCGUUAAGUUGGGGGUGAAAGCCCGGGGCUCAACCUCGAAAUUGCCUUCAAUACUGGCGAUCUUGAGUAUGGAAGAGGUAUGUGGAACUCCGAGUGUAGAGGUGAAAUUCGUAGAUAUUCGGAAGAACACCAGUGGCGAAGGCGACAUACUGGUCCAUUACUGACGCUGAGGCUCGAAAGCGUGGGGAGCAAACAGGAUUAGAUACCCCCGUAGUCCCUGUCUCUUAUAC